UACGAAGGGGGCUAGCGUUGCUCGGAAUCACUGGGCGUAAAGCGCACGUAGGCGGACUCUUAAGUCGGUGGUGAAAUCCUGGAGCUCAAAUCCAGAACUGCCUUCGAUACUGAGAGUCUCGAGUCCGAGAGAGGUGAGUGGAACUGCGAGUGUAGAGGUGAAAUUCGUAGAUAUUCGCAAGAACACCAGUGGCGAAGGCGGCUCACUGGCUCGGUACUGACGCUGAGGUGCGAAAGCGUGGGGAGCAAACAGG
rnacentral:rRNA from 1 species